GAGUGAUUUGUAAGUGACACCUGUCACCACAUUGGUCACUAGUGUUGAUUAGGCUGAUCUGGCUGGCUAGGUAGGUGUCCCCUUCCUAACUCCAAGUGUGUUCUUCCUGAAGCUGUGUGCUCAGAUCAAGAAGCCAACUUUUCCUGUUACAAAGGAUUGUUCUUUGGAUAAGGGUAUGAGUAGGUGUGCUCCCCACCACAACCUCCGAACAAGCUCUAAAGAGACUAGAAAUUAGUUGUAUAGUGUUAAGAUUAUUACAUUGUUUUGUUUCUGGUGCUGGGAUCAA
rnacentral:snRNA from 1 species